rnacentral:lncRNA from 1 species
AGACUUCCAACCUUCCAUCUGAAGUUGGGCAAGCUAAGAUCAAUCUCCUUGAACUUGCGUUCAUAGUCAUCGAGCUACUAUUGCCUAAAAAAAUCUUCGAAAGAACUUAAAGAUAGAGAAACAGAAGGUAUUCUCGACCUCAUCUCUUUCUUGAUGCUAUGUACAUGGGAAGGAGAACAUCGUGAAUGAUGGGUGGCACGAUGAGAGUGCCGAGAAUGUGAGAGCCCAUCUCGAUGAGAAUAUCGAGAUGGUCACCGCUCUGGAGAUG